UCGUUGCUGGAGCAACAGAGCAUUAUCGAAAAAGGAGAAGAAAACUGUGGCCAUCUUAUUGAAGCUCACAAGGAGUGCAUGAGAGCUUUGGGUUUUAAGAUAUGAACAAGAUGAGUCAUAUAUUGGAAUCUUUCAUAGGUGAUUUACUGUGGAUAAUUGGAAACUUUACUUCCACAACUGGUUGAAUUGCUUUUUGAUGUUUUUUAUGAGAAGAUGGGGAAAAAUAUUUAAUAUAAGUUUUAAAAUCACAACAAUAUAUUGCCUUAAUCUAUACCUUGGAUUUGAGAAAUUGUGACAAUAAAUUAUUCUUAGUAUUUAAAGUUCUAAUUUAAACAGAGGAUUGUUUCUUUCCUGUACAUAAAAUAUUAUGAAUGCAAGCAAUAAAGCAAUUUGAUCUGAAUACAGGU